CCUACGGGAGGCAGCAGUGGGGAAUUUUGGACAAUGGGCGCAAGCCUGAUCCAGCCAUGCCGCGUGCGGGAAGAAGGCCUUCGGGUUGUAAACCGCUUUUGUCAGGGAAGAAAUCCUUUGGGCUAAUACCUCGGAGGGAUGACGGUACCUGAAGAAUAAGCACCGGCUAACUACGUGCCAGCAGCCGCGGUAAUACGUAGGGUGCGAGCGUUAAUCGGAAUUACUGGGCGUAAAGCGUGCGCAGGCGGUUAUGCAAGACAGAUGUGAAAUCCCCGGGCUUAACCUGGGAACUGCAUUUGUGACUGCAUAGCUCGAGUACGGCAGAGGGGGAUGGAAUUCCGCGUGUAGCAGUGAAAUGCGUAGAUAUGCGGAGGAACACCGAUGGCGAAGGCAAUCCCCUGGGCCUGUACUGACGCUCAUGCGCGAAAGCGUGGGGAGCAAACAGGAUUAGAUACCCUGGUAGUCCACGCCCUAAACGAUGUCAACUGGUUGUUGGACGGCUUGCUGUUCAGUACGAAGCUACGCGUGAGUUGACCGCCGUGGGGAAGUCGGCCGCAAGGUUGAAACGUUCAAUUGAUUGAGGCNGNGAGNGCGAGCGACGACGAGGGAGGAGG
rnacentral:rRNA from 1 species